rnacentral:tRNA from 1 species
GGGAGUAUAGCUCAGUGGCAGAGUGUGUGCUUAGCAUGCACGAGGACCUGGCUUCAAUCCCCAACACCUCCA